rnacentral:RNase_P_RNA from 1 species
GAGCGCACCGCGCGGCUGGUAACAGUCCGUGGCACGGUAAACUCCACCCGGAGCAAGGCCAAAUAGGGGUUCAUAAGGUACGGCCCGUACUGAACCCGGGUAGGCUGCUUGAGCCAGUGAGCGAUUGCUGGCCUAGAUGAAUGACUGUCCACGACAGAACCCGGCUUAUCGGUCAGUUUCACUU